rnacentral:rRNA from 1 species
UACGAAGGGGGCUAGCGUUGCUCGGAAUCACUGGGCGUAAAGAGCGCGUAGGCGGCUUGGUAAGCCGGAUGUGAAACCCCCGAGCUCAACUCGGGGCGGCCAUUCGGAACUGCCAUGGCUAGAGUCUGGUAGGGGAACACGGAAUACCUGGUGUAGCGGUGAAAUGCUUAGAUAUCAGGUGGAACACCAGUGGCGAAGGCGGUGUUCUGGGCCAGUACUGACGCUGAGGCGCGAAAGCGUGGGGAGCGAACAGG